rnacentral:rRNA from 1 species
GACGAACGCUGGCGGCGUGCUUAACGCACGCAAGUCGAACGCUGAAGCCCUUUCGGGGGUGGAUGAGUGGCGAACGGGUGAGUAACACGUGGGUAAUCUGCCCUGCACUCUGGGAUAAGCCUUGGAAACGGGGUCUAAUACCGGAUAGGACACAUCGCCGCAUGGUGUGUGUGGGUAGAAAGUUCCGGCGGUGCAGGUUGAGCCCGCGGCCUAUCAGCUUGUUGGUGGGGUGAUGGCCUACCAAGGCGACGGCGGGUAGCCGGCCUGAGAGGGUGACCGGCCACACUGGGACUGAGACACGGCCCAGACUCCUACGGGAGGCAGCAGUGGGGAAUCUUGCGCAAUGGGCGAAAGCCUGACGCAGCAACGCCGCGUGGGGGAUGACGGCCUUCGGGUUGUAAACCUCUUUCGACCGGGACGAAGGGUGACUGACGGUACCGGUAGAAGAAGCACCGGCUAACUACGUGCCAGCCGCCGCGGUAA